UGUCUGUGUGGUUUACAAGUUUCUUGGCGAUAUGGGGGGAAAGUUCCUCACAUACCAACGGAAAAUGGGCUUCAUAUACAUGCUGCUGUCUCAUAAUAUGGCGAAGACGAGUCACCUGAAGGCCUAACUCGCCAUAGAAGACUGAAAGAAUUGUCCUGCAGGAUGCUGUGUCCUGCAAUCCUGUGUGCUGUGCUACAGACGCGUGUGGAGGUCAACCCAAAAUGGGCACAGUCUCACCACAGAAGAGUGAAAGAGGCUCCCAGAAGUGAGACUGAGUGCCUGUUGCAGUAUGACGAGGACGCAGUGACCAGAGACCUUCAGUAGACCCUGCUGGCAUGAUUGACGGCUGAAGAACAUGAAAUCAACAGCAAUGUUUAUAAUGUUGUACAUACCUGUAUAGUCUGUAUUAAAAGGCAGUACCUGUA